rnacentral:tRNA from 1 species
ACUUAAAUAGCUUAUUUAGAGCAUAACACUGAAGAUGUUAAGGAAACAAUUAUAUUUUUAGGUA